ensembl:lncRNA
CAUUUUAGCAUUCUGGAACUGCCCUCUGUGGUUCCUUGAAGACAGAUGGGAAGAAAACUGCCUUUCAGGACUAUAUUUGUCACUGUCAACGUUAAAAGCUUACACACUAGGUCAGUUCAAGAAACUGAGAACUCCACUGAAAGUGUCCUGCUGCCUUCCUGCUAGAACAUGAGGCUGGCAUGAGAAUAUGAGGAUAUUCCUUCAUUGUAUGCACAAGAGCAAAAUACAUAAUAGUGUCAGUGACUCACAAAAACUGAAAAGCAGCAGUACAACCAUGGAGUUCUCCUUCAAUGAAAAAAAAAUGUUUAUUUUCUCUCUGGAAUACUCCAACUCCCUGGCUCAGUUUAGUCCAGUAUUCAAAUGUCUAAUAAUUCCAUACAACAUUUUAGUUGUUGUUUCUUCCAUCAUCUUCAAGGUUGUACUAAUACUGUUUUAAACAAGAUAUCAGAGCUUUAGUGUCCUCUACGAGCUACAGUGCAAAGAGAAGCAGAGUAAAUUUCUUCUGUAAUACAUUUGCAGUAUUUAAUCUGGAUUCAUAUUAACUUAAAAAAAAUAAAUCAACAAAAAAGCAUCA